rnacentral:lncRNA from 1 species
GAACCCUCCUUCGACGUAAGUGGAGAGGACGAAAAACACAUCAAGGAUGCCGAAGAUGGAGGUGACGCCAUCCAGUGAUUCUCCUAUCAUGAUGUCGCCUUUAAUCAAAAUGUCGUGGCAAUAAUUACCCACAAUUUGGCAUGCCAGGCCUAUGUUUUCUAUCAUUUGUCAAAGGGACGCAGCUGUAUCAUUUUCCUCUUUUGGUGUGCGGUCUAGGAAGGUUAAAGAUGGGAAGAAAGACAAGAUGGAGGUUUUGGUAACACUUGUAUUUGUGUAUGCUGAGCGUGAUAGGAAUUGAAACUUGCGCUAGCACAG